AUUCUGCAGCUCUUGCUAUACCUGUUUCAGUUGUCAUUAGACUACACUAGAAUUGUGUUAGCUACCACCCCUCCUAUUUAGCAACCUUACUCGGUUAACUGCUUCACUACCAGGAUAUUGUAUAAAAACAGAUUUGAAGAAAAUUAGAAAUGAGAAACAAGUUAAGAAAAUCUCAGAAUGAUAAAAUAACUUAAUGUUCACUGAUCGCUGUUCAGGAAUACCC